ensembl:misc_RNA Metazoa_SRP Metazoan signal recognition particle RNA
GCUGGGCGUGGUGGCUAACGCCUGUAAUUCCAGCACUUUGGGAGGCUGAGGUGGGCGGAUCACCUGAGGUCAGGAGUUCAAGACAAGCCUGACCAACAUGGUGAAACCCCAUCUCUA